ensembl:lncRNA
AGAAGAGAAAAAGCUGAACCCAAGCAGGCCCCUGUGGGGCUCCUGGGCACAAAAGCCUUUCCUUAUCCCUCGUUUCUUGCUUGUAGGAAACAGGCUUCAUUCAGCCUCCAUGACCUUUCCUGAGUUCCAAAGGAAGGACAGGUUCAAACAGUUGCUAAUCACAGAGGGAGAGGAUGAAGAGACAAGGGAGGAGCAGUGAAGAAACCCCAGCAUGGGGCAUGGUCCCGGUUCCUCCUCGAGGGACAUACAUUAACAGUAUCUUUGAGCUGUUCUGCAGACACUGAAGCCCCCACCAGGUGGAAGAAGUUAACUGUACGCUGUCCACAAGCAUGGAGACCACAGACCGGCUGGAACCAGAAGGUUGAUGAUGCUGACUUCCAAUUACUUCACCACCAACCAAUCAGAAGAAUGUCCAUGAGCUGAUCACGCCCUCCUCUCUGAACCACUGCUAUAAACCUCACUACCACCCUCCAGGGGGCAUGCACAGUUUUGAGGGCAUUAGCCUGCUGUGGCCCUUUUUCCUGGGGAAACAAUCAAGCUAUUCUUUUCUACUUCAUCCCAGACUUUGUCUCUGAGAUUCUAUUUAGUACCAGGGUACAGAGGCCGAAUUUCAGCUACAAAUCUACUCAAUUCUAAGAACGAAGGAAUGAGCGUGUGUUGUUCAGACUGCCUCCUUCUCCCCACAAUGCCAUCAGAACUCCAGGGCAUCAGCCUAUCUGUGCCCUUUUCUGCCAUGAAGCAGAUGUGUACAUUCUUCAGGAGCCUCUCCUCUUGCCAGGGUCCACCCCAGGGUUGUGCCAGCAGCAUCUGCUUCUUAAGGACCUGUCUGUUCCCCAUCCCUGGGCCCAUGUGAGGUGAGCUCCAGGUGCUACUGUCGGGGAAGCCACUAAGGAAGGAGGUGCAUUCCCCCAGGUGCUAUGUGGCCAGGGGGAUUUCACAACACCUCAGAGAAAGAAGCCACUGGAACCUAAGAGUCAAGCCUGUGAAGUCCCUGGAGUGAUGCCAGAGGUCGCCUCUGAUCCCUGGGAAGAACUCAGGACUCUGCCUGGGAAUUUACACAACCAUCAGGGCUUCUCAGGUGGCACAAUGAUGGAGGCACAAGGAAAUCAAGCAGCUCCCUGGAUGGAGGCCAUGCAGCUGCCAAGUGUCAGAACCAGGUUUUGAACCCAGGUUGUCCAAGUCGAGUGCCCCUC